rnacentral:rRNA from 1 species
AGGACGAACGCUGGCGGCGUGCUUAACACAUGCAAGUCGAGCGGAAAGGCCCUUCGGGGUACUCGAGCGGCGAACGGGUGAGUAACACGUGAGUAAUCUGCCCCUAGCUCUGGGAUAGCUCCGGGAAACCGGGAUUAAUACCAGAUACGACCACUUUAGACAUCUGUUGUGGUGGAAAGAAUUUCGGCUAGGGAUGAGCUCGCGGCCUAUCAGCUUGUUGGUGAGGUAACGGCUCACCAAGGCGACGACGGGUAGCCGGCCUGAGAGGGCGACCGGCCACACUGGGACUGAGACACGGCCCAGACUCCUACGGGAGGCAGCAGUGGGGAAUAUUGCGCAAUGGGCGAAAGCCUGACGCAGCGACGCCGCGUGGGGGAUGAAGGCUUCGGUGUAAACCCUUCAGCAGGACGAAGCGAAAGUGACGGUACCUGCAGAAGAAGACGCCGGCUAACUACGUGCCAGCAGCCGC